AAAAAGAUGGUAUAGUUGGUUAUCAUAUCUGUCUAACACACAGAAGGUCUCCAGUUCAAACCUGGACAGACAUUUUUUUA